AACGAACGCUGGCGGCAUGCCUAACACAUGCAAGUCGAACGAGACCUUCGGGUCUAGUGGCGCACGGGUGCGUAACGCGUGGGAACCUGCCCUUAGGUUCGGAAUAACUCCCCGAAAGGGGUGCUAAUACCGGAUAAUGUCUUCGGACCAAAGAUUUAUCGCCUUUGGAUGGGCCCGCGUUGGAUUAGCUAGUUGGUAGGGUAAAAGCCUACCAAGGCGACGAUCCAUAGCUGGUCUGAGAGGAUGAUCAGCCACACUGGGACUGAGACACGGCCCAGACUCUUGGGGGAGGCAGCGGGGGGGAAUAUGGAAAAAUGGGCAAAAGCUGUAUCCGGCACUGCGGGGGGAGUGAUGAAGGCCUGGGGGUAGAAAAGCUCUUUUACCGGGGAUAAAAAAGACAGUAGGGGAAAAAAAAGCUCGGGCUAACUCGGUG
rnacentral:rRNA from 1 species